rnacentral:lncRNA from 1 species
UGGGGCUUGUGAUGUAGUCACCGUCCUCCACCCUACACCAAUUUCACGCUCGGUACACUUCUAGCAAUAAGAUAAACUAUAUCUUUUAUUAGAAGACAUUUUUACUGGGGGCGGGGAAAGGGGGUGGCAGUCCAAUUAGGUGCUAAACAUUUUUCCCGCAUACCGUCACGAUAAUCAAAAAGCAAGUACAGCAAAACAAAGGCAGAACACAAACCAGAAUGACACAACAAGGAAGAGAAAGUAAAGGCUGAAAAGAAUAUUUGCCAGGCCGGAAAAAAAAAAGAAAGAAAAACUAUUUACAACUUUUAUUUAGAGGUAAGAUUCCUCCCCGUCCACACACUACAGCCAACCCAACGCGCAACGCUGGGGCGGACAGUGAAACUACUCAAGAACAACAAAGAGGAGCAGCGGCCGCAGCAGGAUCCCUACCAUCCGACUUUAACUUGGUUCGCGUCCAAACUGCGAGGGGAGAUCGGGGCCGAAGCUCAAGGGACAGGAGGAACCGCGGCCACUAGCCCGCCCUGCGGCGGCCGACCCGAACCAGCUCCUCAGGCGGCCACGCUCUCUCCCCCAGCAAACCCGCCGGCCUACCGCACGCUCCCCGCCGCCGCGGCCGCCGGGAGCCCGCCCCGGGGCGGAGAAGCCGCGGGCGGGGCGCACGGGCCUGGCCGAGGAAAGAGGAGGGGACAUGGCGCGGUUACCUGGGCUCGGGCAGCGGUGAGGAGAGUUGCUCUUCCGCCGAGGCUCCCCCGCGGAAGCGCCGGGCUCGUAGCUCCCCCGGCAGCCCAGAGCGCUCCUCGGCCCCCGCCUGGAGGCGUCCCAGCCAGGCCGCCCCCUUCCUGAAGCCGCACCGCUGCCCGCACGAGCCCGGCCGGCUCAAGCUCCCGGGCCGCCCCGUGCCGGGGGCCUCUCUCGUGGGGCGCCCGGCUCCCCUCACCCGCUCCCGUCCCCCAGGCAGCCGGGAAGCCGAGGGGAGGGCGAGAAGGGCCUCCCGAGGAGAGCUGGCGGGCACGAACGCGGGUUCCUCCACCCAAGCCACUCCGUUACCGCAGCGGCGACGACGACCAGGGCCGUGUUGUUGCUGCCAACUUGUCGAGCGGACACUGAGCAUGCGCGCGCGGAGACCACAUCCGGCCCCGGAUCACGAAAUCCAAAGGUGUUUAAACUCGUGAUACGCCCCCUUGGGUUAUGGAGACGCACAGGACAUUAAUCAAGGAAUCACACUUGAGAGUCUUGCCAAGUGUCCUGAAACGUGAUUCUUAUUGGAAGAGUUGAGGCGGAAUCUCAGAAUCCAUGUCUACAACACACCUACUAAUUGGGUUACCUGUUGAUGGAGAAAGACGUACACUGAUUUUGAUUUUAUACUUGUUCUAUUUGAAUUUUUUACAAUAUGUAUAUAUUUCUCUUGUAACUUAAAAAGUGUCAGAACACACUAUAUAUAUAUACAUUUUUUUUUCACCAACCAGGAAACACUUCCAGUUGAUAGUCCCACUAGAAAGUUCCGAAGUCUUUUCCUGGGCCUUGUCUCCCACUGUCUGCAGCACUCGUCCUCCCGGGCAUUCACAAACAGUCCCCCAUCCCCAGCCCGUUUUGUCCUCCUUUCCAUCAAGUGCAGGCUUUUCUGUCGAAUGCCAGGAAGUUUUUCAUAAACUUAUGUGUUAAUGAAGACUUCCCAAGGCUAGUUUUAAGGGAAUUCAUUUCCAGAAAUUCCACUAUCCUAUGUACUAUUUUAUUUUAAAAAGUUUAUUGAAGGGAAGCAGACUUGGUCCAGUGGUUAGGGCAUCGGUCUACCACAUGGGAGGUCCACGGUUCAAACCCCAGGCCUCCUUGACCCCUGUGGAGGUGGCCCGUAAGCAGUGCUGAUGCGCCCAAGGAGCGCCCUGCCACGCAAGGGUGUCCCCCAAAUAGGGGAGCCACACACACAAGGAGCGCACUCCAUAAGGAGAGCCACCCAGCGGGAAGGAAGUGCAGCCUGCCCAGGAAUGGUGCUGCACACAGGGAGAGCCGACACAACAAGAUGAUUCAACAAAAAGAAACACAGAGUCUCGUGCCACUGACAACAACAGAAGUGGACAAAGAAGAAGACACAGCAAAUAGACACAGAGAGCAGACAACCAGGGGCGGGCGGGCAGGGGAGGGGAGAGAAAUAAAUAAAUAAAAAUAAAUCUUUAAAGGAGUUUAUUGAAGUAAAUCAUUCAUACAUAAACAGUAACUGUAUAGUAGAAGUUGUGCAUAACAGUAAGUUUAUAGUAAACAGUAAGUGUCUAUUAAAGUUGUGCAUAAACAGUAAGUGUAUAGUAAACAGUAAGUGUAUAGUAAAAGUUGCAAACUUACAAAACAGUAAGCGUAUAGUAAAAGUUGUGAACUUACAAAACAAACAUGCAUAACAUACGGGCUCCCAUACUUCUCCUCACAUAUGCAUUCUUUUCUAAAAUUGUUCAGCUCUAGAAGGCACCAAAGGACAAGAAUUUCCUUUCAAAAUUGUCCUUCUCCCACCUUAUAAAAGAAAGUAAAAACUCUCAUCCAUUAUUAAGAUGCAUGACCGGAGGUAUAAGAGCCUCCAAGGACAAUUCGAAGGCACAGUUCAAAUAGUGGUGCCCAUGCUGAGAAAGUGAACAACUCUAAUGAAUCUGUAUUAAAUUCCUUUGCAAGUCAAGUGGUUUCCAAUUCUGUGCUGUUACCAAAAUUGAAGGAAGACCUAACUAAGCUGUCAGUUGAUAGGCAUUAAAAAUGAUUUGUUAAUAGACCAAUAUGUGAUUCUUAGACAUCCACCUCAGAAGGAGCUCAGAGAAUUGAGUAACAUUGCUAUAAACUUCUUCCAUUCCAAUCUGUAUUAUCUAUUGCUGUAUAACAACAUUUCCACAAAUUAAGUAGCUUAAAACUGCAUACAUUUUAACAAAGCUGUCAACCCCACCCCGCUAAGCCAGAACAGUCAAUUCAGCAAAUGGUGCUGGGAGAACUGGAUAUCCAUAUCCAAAAGAAAGAAAAAGGACUCCUGUCUCAGACCUUAGACAAAAAUUAACUCAAAAUGGAUCAAGGACAUAAUUAUAAAAGCUGCUAGAAGGAGCUUUCAAACUCCUAGAACCAUAAAACUCCUAGAAGAAAAUGUAGGGAAACAUUUUCAAGAUCUUGUGAUAGGCGGUAAUUUCUUAAACCUUACACCCAAAGCAUGAGCAAGAAAAAAUAUAAAUGGGACCUCCUCAAAAUUAAACACUUUUAUUCUUCAAAAGACUUUGUCAAGAAAUUAAAAAGGCAGCCUUCUGGGAGAAAAUAUUUGGAAAAAAUAUAUCCAAUAAAGGUUUGAUAUCCUUGUUAUAUAAAGAGAUCAUAAAACUCAACAAUAAAAAGACAAGAAACCCAAUUUAAAAAUGGGCAAAAGACUUGAAUAGACAUUUUUUCAAACAGGAAAUACAAAUGGUCAAAAAACACAUUUCCCUAGCUAGUAGGGAAAUGCAGAUCAAAACUACAAUGAGAUAUCAUUUCACACCUUAUAGAAUGGCUGUUAUUGAAAAAACAGAAAACUACAAGUGCUGGAGAAGAUCUGGAGACAUAGGAACACUCCUUCACUGUUGGUAGGAAUGUAAAAUGGUGCAGCCUCUGUGGAAGACAGUCUGGCAGUACCUCAAGAGGCUGAAUAUAGAAUUGCCGUAUGAUCCAGCAAUCCCAUAACCAGAAAUAUAUUCAGAAGAAUUGAAAGCAAGGACAAGAACUGACAUUUGCACAUUCAUGUUCCUAGGAGCAUUAUUCACAAUUGCUAAAAUAUGGAAACAGCCCAAAUGCCCAUCAACCGAUGAAUGGAUAAACAAAAUGUGGUAUAUACACAGCUGUAAGAAGAAAUCAGGACGCAUAUGACAACAUGGAUGAACCUUGAGGAUGUCCUGCUGAGUGAAAGAAGCCAGACACAAAAGACAAGUAUUGCAUGGUCUAGCUAAUAUGAACUAAAUACAAUGAGUAAACUCACGGAGGUAAACUCUAGAGUGUAGGUUACUAGGAGGUAGAAUAUGAGGUGAAAAAGGGAGCUGAUGCUUAACAUAUGUAGAAUUUUUAAUAAGGUUUAUUGUAUAAGUAUGGAAAUGAAUAGAGUUUAUAACAUUAUAGUGAGUAUAACUAACACUGCUAAUUUAUAUAUGUGAUUGUAGCUGAAAGAAGUCUGUGGAUAUAAAUGUCAAUUGAAAGGAAGCUAGAGAAUAAUCUAGAGAAUGUAUAACAGUGAUUUCAGUGAUGGAGGGAGAUUGUGGUUAAUAGUACAAGUAUAAAAAUGUUCCUUUUAAAAUGUUAAGAAUUUGGUGAUACAUGGGGAAAUUAUAACUAAUAUAACUUACCAAUGAUUGUUAACAGUACUAUUGUAAUAUUUUUGCAGCAUUGGCAAAGAAGAUGUAUCAAUUCUAAGGGACAUCAAUAGGGAGGUAUAAGGGGAUAUGGGAUUUUUCCUUUGGAAUAAUGAAAAUGUUCUAAAAUUGACUGAGGUGAUGACAGGAUUACUCUGUGAUAAAAAUGAGAGCCCCUAAGUGAACUUUUGAAUGGAUUGUACAAAGCAUGGGACUGUAUAACAGGGAAUCCAGGUGGAAGGAGAACUGUGGUUAACAGAACAAAUAUGAAAAGGUUCUCUCAUGAGUUAUAACAAAUACAUAAUACUAAUACAGGGUGUUAAUAAUCAGGUGGAUUGGGGGUGGGGGAAAUACACCAAAUGUAAGAUAUGGGCUAUAGUUCUUUCAUAGUUUCUAACAAAUGUUUCACAACAACGCAAGGUGGUGGUGGUGAGGUGAUAUAUGAGAGCCCUGUACGAUGAUAUGCAUGUUUGUUUUGUAAGAUCACAACUUUUACUAUACAUUUACUGUUUAUGCAUAUCC